CCUCUCGACACAUAUGAGAGGUCCAGCCUGCCCAGUGACUAAGUUCAACGGCCGCGGUAUCCUAACCGUGCGAAGGUAGCGUAAUCACUUGUUCUUUAAAUGAGGACUAGUAUGAAUGGCACCACGAGGGUUAUACUGUCUCCUUUUUUAAAUCAAUGAAACUGAUCCCCCCGUGAAGAAGCGGGAAUAUAACUAUAAGACGAGAAGACCCUAUGGAGCUUUAAACAAUUAUAGCACUGGCCCUCGCUUCUUACCCUUAUGAGAUCCAAUUAUUAUAUAGGCCAGCAUGACUAUUAGUUUUAGGUUGGGGUGACCGCGGAGCAAAAACCAACCUCCACGUUGAACUGGAACUAAUUCCUGAGCUAUAAGCUACAACUUUAAGCACCAAUAAACUGACAUAAAUUGACCCAAUUUAUUGAACAACGAACCAAGUUACCCUAGGGAUAACAGCGCAAUCCAUUUCAAGAGCCCCUAUCGACAAAUGGGUUUACGACCUCGAUGUUGGAUCAGGGUGUCCCAGUGGUGCAGCCGCUACUAAAGGUUCGUUUGUUCAAC
rnacentral:rRNA from 1 species